GGUAAAUUAUAUUUUGUUAAAUGUAACAAACUGUAAUGUUAACUUAGUUGCUGUCUUCCUUGUUUGCCAAAUGAAUGUCGGAGCCGUCGCAUUUGACAUUUUCAGCACACCGUCACAUCUCACUCGACGUGGAGAGCGCUGUGUGCCUUCAACAGAAGCUGGCAGAGCAAUUGUCAAGAAAAGAAGAUACCAUUACGACUUUUUUUAUUCUUUAAAAGAGAUUAUACGACUAGGUGAAGAUCUGACAUCGCGGAAUUCUUCAAGGAUAACGCAACUUUUCUGCCAAACGAGGUCGUAAUUGCUGCUGUGUUGUGCAUCCCAAGUACCCCCUGCAUUCUUAUCAAGGGUUUUUAUUCUGUUUUAUUUAUUAACACUACAGUUUUAUUUAUGGAAGCAUAUGGGGAGCAAAAUUCAAUUUGAAAUGCAAAAUGGCAAUGUAUUUCUGUAUUUAAAUUCUCCCAUACAUCUGUGCAAUAUUUAGUGCAAAAUGAAAAUUCAAUUAUAUAAUUUACGUUUGCCAUUUCCUACACUAGCUUUAAUAUGCAAAAUAAAAUAAUAUUUUAAUGCUUUAUAAGUUGCAAAAUGAAAAUGUAUUAAUAAUACAGUAUUUAUAAUGUCAAUCGUUAGGUGGGGCUCAGCAACAGGAUGCACAAUAGGUCAAUAUUCAUCGUCAACCAAACGCUUUCCACAUUGACUUAUUCAUUGCAGGGUAUUAAAUGAAAAUGUUAUUGAAAUGUCUUACAUGUAAGUGUCAAUGCAUUUAAGAAAAAUGAAAGACAUUUAAAUCAGCAUUCUGCUACCCUUUUGCUGCACCUUUGGCUCAGAAUGCAUCCUCAAAUUCUAACUGCAUUUUGCUACAAUUAUCAUGCGGUAUUAUGAUGGAAAUGCAAUCCCAAGUGUCCUACCCCUAAGUCUAAAUGCAUUUAGGAAAAACAGCAUUUAAAUGAUAAUUAAAACGAAUUUUUUGUUUUAAUUAACUUAAUAUUGUGAAUAAAUAACUUAUAAAGUGUUCAAAUAUGUUUUUAAUUUGCAUAUUAAAACUAGUGUAGAAAAUGGCAAAUGUAAAUUAUAUAACUGAAUUUUCAUUUUGCACUAAAAUUUGGACAUGUAUGGCAAAAUGUAAAUAAAAAUACAGAACUACAUUGCCAUUUUGUGUAUUCCAAACUGAAUUUUGCUACCCAUAUGCUUCCAUUUUUAUUUACCUUUAGGGAUGUUCAAUACUGACAAACAUUAGUAAUGGAGUCGUUUAUUCAGUUGACUUUAUUGAAGUUGUUUGUGUAGGAAAAAUUUAAUCAAUGUUUGGAGUGGCUUUCUGAAUUUACAAUGUGUUGUUUAUAAUUUCUUAUUUUUUUAUUGUUAUUGGUGAUUCCAGAUUGGCACAUGGCAAGAGAUACUAAAAGCACACAAACACUUGGAGCCCUGCUCUUAAUUUAGGUUGUAUAGUUCUCUUAGUUUCACAUUGAAAUGUAAGGCAUGAGUGCAUGAAUCUUUGUUCUUUAUUUUCUAAUGAUGUACAAGAGUUUUUUUUUUUUUUUUUUGCAGUACCAUGUCAGUUGUAGAUGACAGAAUUCAAAUUUUUUGAUGUGAACUGUCCUUUUAAAUAACAUUUCACUUGACUAUUGACUAGAAGUAUGUAGCAAUUGUUAUUAAUGACAGCCCUGUCUUUGUAUUAAUUUUUUCCCAUGUAUCUGAAAAUGUUUUGAAUCUUGACUGUUUCACAGUGAAGUUUAUCUUUGUGAACACUAUUUGGUGCAACACCAAUAUUGUACAAGUAGCUGCUCAUGUUUUCUUUUUUCUGCCUGGUGCUGUUUAAAACUAAAACACAUUGUUAAAUUAAUUGAUGUAAUAAUAUUUUUGUCUUCACCUGUUAAAGGCAAAUAAAAGCUACUGAACGCACUUUUAAGAAUGUUUACAUGAGGUAAAAAUAAA